ACCACCUGAGCUGGAAUCAAAUGGAAAUCCCAGCUGUUCUUCAAAGAAAUACACAACCUCAGAAAGCUGAGAAGAGACUAAUUAAGAAGACCCCAGGCCCUGAUGAACUGAGAAACAGCAGGCCUGGGGUAUUCUAGCCCCAGGUGUCUGCAGAAGGUUGCUAGUAGAGCGAGGAGUAAAGGUUCAAGGGGAAAUCACUCUUCAAAGUCAAUGAAGAGCCAAGGAGCCACUUGGGAUCAGAAUCUCCACGUGCCUACCUCCACAGUGACAACAAGCAAACCCUUGUUACUUCCAGGUCCAAGGACAUGACAACCCUGGUACACCUUGCCAUUGAAAGCAAAGGAGGAAGAAAGAUGGACCCAGGCUGAAAGAACAGCUUCUACAUAGGUCAUGUCUACGAAAGAGCAAGAGCAUUGGCCAGAACUCAAGAUGAGUCAUAAACCUUCUGCUCCAACAUGCUAAAUGCUGUGUUUACCCACAUUUCACUGGGCAAAGCAUGUCACAUGACUGAACCAAAUCCAGUGAGAUGAAGACAUAAAAUCUCCCCACAGGAGGCACAGUAAACACCUGACAAUGGACAGGGGGUGGGUGGGUAG